GGCAAAAGGCAAGAGGUUUAUGCCCACCAAUAAUCGAUCGACACGUCAGCUAAAAACAAAAAACUGAAAUGAUGUUGAACUACUGGAUCACUCUCACAACUCCCAUGUUUACCUUCCAAAAAAAAGAACUCCCACACGCCCAAAUCAAGAUCGGCUAAAGAAAAACUCCCCAAUUGGAAGAUCUGCAACAUCAUCGCCCAGGCCGGAAAGCCGCCGCCACCACUGGGCCGGAUGCUACAGCCACCGACUGGGCCGGAAGCUACCGCCACUGCCCGGACUAGACCACGCUGAACCCCAACUCCACCGAACGCUGCUACUCCUCCACCGGAAUUGGGUUCAAGAGUGUCUUUCUAGUUACUUCUCGGCCAUACAUAUUCAGCAAUGGAUAUAAGAUACGGCUCAAUGAAGUGCCUUGCCCACAUUGCAAUCUUGGGUACGUAGUUCCUGAAUGGGUGGAGGAGAGAAUCCAACUCUUUCUGACAUCAGACAAAUAUAUGGUGCUACCACUCUUCCAACGACAACAAUAGUCUCACCUCUGAAGCCUGAUUAGGUCAAACCUGUGAAGCAGCAGCUCUCAAGCAUUCAUCCUGAAGUUCUGUUGUUCCUUUCAAAAAUUUUAUGAAACAAGUUGCUUAAUUCUUUGAAAACUGUUUCAAAUUCAAAUAAAUGAAGAAAAGGACAUGUACCAUUUGCAAGAAAACAGGACAUGUGAGAACCAAUUGCCCUUCACAUAAGCAAACAUUGUAUUCUUAUACAUUUUUUUUUAUUUACAACAAUUUACAUUAUUAUUGUGAAUUCUUAUUAAUGAUAAACUCAUAGUAUAAUGGCCAAAAAAUGGCAUUAGACAUACUGCACAA